CUCUACUGAGAGGGACGGAUUGCGUUUAGAGAGAUAAACCGGCCUUGAUUUGUCAAGCCUCAACUCCCCAGCACAGAAUACUGUGCCCAUCAUUCUACAAGAGGAGGCUGAGAAGAGGGUGAGGGCUGAGGAAAAGUGCUCCACCCGAGAACGAUAAAGCCACAAAGUUAUCUCCAACCAUUCAGACCAGGGAUCCUGAAGACCUUCAUUCCAGGUAGCACCAUGCCUGGCCCAGAGCCAAGCUCAAGACAUUAAUGCCAGGCAUCAUGGUUGGCCCUGGGACGCAGGGGUGACUAAGGAGCUUCCUUGAGGAGUGUGAAUGAGUCAAGAAGCACCAAAGUCCUGGAAGAAAAUAUGAACAUCCUCUUUGACACAAGUCAUCAUCUC